UACGAAGGGGGCUAGCGUUGCUCGGAAUCACGGGGCGUAAAGGGUGCGUAGGCGGGUCUUUAAGUCAGGGGUGAAAUCCUGGAGCUCAACUCCAGAACUGCCUUUGAUACUGAAGAUCUUGAGUUCGGGAGAGGUGAGUGGAACUGCGAGUGUAGAGGUGAAAUUCGUAGAUAUUCGCAAGAACACCAGUGGCGAAGGCGGCUCACUGGCCCGAAACUGACGCUGAGGCACGAAAGCGUGGGGAGCAAACAGG
rnacentral:rRNA from 1 species